AUGCUGGAGAAGGAGGAGGAGGCUUCGCCGGCUGCCGGAGCACCGCCUCGUCCGCCCGUCUCUCGGGGGACCCGCCGGGGAGGAAAAGGCAGGAUCCAGGCGCGCCAGUACUUCGCAUUGGACCGAGAAAAGGACUGGGAGCUGUCGGCAUAGUACAGAGCGCAUGGGCACUCGGACACCAUCUUCUCAGUCCAUCGGUGGAAGUAGUUGCAAAACGUCAUAGCACAAUAUACAGAGGGAUACCAGUUGGUCCUUAAAGAUAUGACUAGACUCGCUCUCUUUGCUGCUACAGACCAGCUCUUCUGGAAUUUGUCUCUGAGGAAGGGCAGAGUUCGCUCUAUUUGUGUAGCAAGCCAGAGACAUCCACCCUUACUAAAUAAAUGUUGGGAGCGGCCUGGUUGCCAAGGAAGGGUGGUUGCUGGUUCCUUGCCGAGGAUGUUGGGUGGUGCUGUGAGAAGCAGAAAAUAAGCUUUGUUUUCCUGGAUAGGAAGUGGCUUUGUAAUACUGGGUGGUACGUCAAAUGAAAGCUGUGCUACAUAACUGUAGGUUGUACUCACACAGCAUCAGCUACCAAGGGUGGUGCUCACAUAGAAGCCCAUAUGUCCCGUGAGGCGGACAAUACAAUUGUUAAUCCCUCCACUGGAACCUGAAAUAUAUCUGUCCUUUGUAAAUGUGAGGAGAUGGCUCUGCAACAAGGAUGGCUGGGGGGGAAAUUGUAGUAGUCAAGGUGAUGGCAUUCUGUAAAUCUUCAAAUGCUUCAAAUGUUAGUGAAAUAUGAAGGCCGGUUAUUUUUUUAAUAAAGAACUGGGUUGUACUGUCAGGGAAGACCAGUCCUGACAUGUACCAAACUCAGACGAUUAAACGCCCCAUAAAGGGUAUCGUUUUGCCCAUUGUAAAUGUUAUGUAUUCAGUGGUUUGUGUUUGCCUGAGCUUGAGUCUGGACUAAGGAUUCUGAGCUCCUGUGUUCCAAUUCGAUACAU